rnacentral:rRNA from 1 species
AAGCAUGAAGCCCCCCUCAAGAUGAGAUUUCCCAACUUCGGUUAUAAGAUCCCUCGAAGAUGACGAGGUUAAUAGGUUCGAGGUGGAAGCGUGGCGACACGUGGAGCUGACGAAUACUAAUCGAUCGAAGACUUAAUCAAUUU